AUUUUAAAAAUAAAAACAAACUGAGCACCAGGGAUGGCAGAAAACUGCGAAGAAAAGGAUAUUUUGUCGUAUUCCAUCUGCAGAUAUUCAAGUUUUUCAUACAACUAUGUCCCAGAGAACAUUUACAGUGACAAUUCCAAGGAUCAAUCUUCACGCUGGUCCUCAGACUCCAACCAACCUCCCCAGUUCUUGACCCUGAAGCUUGAUCGACCGGCCAUUGUGGAGAACAUCACAUUUGGGAAAUAUGAGAAGGCUCACGUGUGUAACCUAAAGAAGUUCAAAGUCCUGGGAGGUCUGAAUGAUGAACACAUGAUUGAGUUAUUUGAAGGGGGUUUGAAAAACGACCAUAUAGCAGAAACUUUUACACUUAAAAAAGAAAUUCAUGAUAAUUUAUUCCCCUGCAGAUAUAUCAAGAUAGUCCCUCUCCAAGCUUGGGGCCCCUCCUGUUUUAACUUCAGUAUCUGGUAUGUAAAGUUACGAGGAGAGAGUAACUGGGAUGUUGUACAACCAUGUUUACAGUGGCUGGUUACAUUCCGGGAGAAGGAGGCCAUCAGGCUGUGUCUGAAGCACUUCCGACAGAGGCAGUUUACCGAGGCGUACGAGGCGCUCCAGAAGAGGACCAAGGUGUCCCUGGAACACCCCAUUCUCACCGAGCUACACUCCAUGCUGGUAAAACACGGAGAUUUUGAGAAAAGUGAAGAUUUAUUAUGGCAAGCUGCAGAGGAGGGACUGUUUGACCAGUAUAUCUGCGACCAAGACUAUACACCCAAAUGGACCCCGAUAGAACCACUGCCUAAUGGAGAUAAUCCCAGCACCUACCAGCCAGGGAUGAGAGGGGGACACCAGAUGUGUCUGGAUCUACAGACUGAGAGUCUGUACCUGUUUGGUGGGUGGGAUGGGAACAGAGACCUGUCUGAUUUCUGGGUCUUUUCUGUCCCGUCCAAAGAAUGGACGUGUUUAAGCAGUGAUACACACAAAGAGGGUGGUCCGAAUGCAAGAUCCUGCCACAAAAUGUGUUUAGAUUAUGAAAGGAAACAAAUUUUCAUCUUGGGUAGAUAUCUAGAUGCUUCAAUGAGAACUGCUGAAAAUCUGAAGAGUGACUUUUACAUGUAUGACAUCACGUCAGGCCGUUGGACACUGAUUACUGAGGACACACAUACUAUGGGUGGGCCGCGACUUAUCUACGACCACCAGAUGGUCAUCGACAUCCAGAAACAGACACUCUACCUUUUUGGUGGCCGGGUACUAAGCAGUGUAGGAUCAGACAGAAGUGGAGAACCUUCGUUCAGUGGACUUUAUGCUUACCACAUUCCCACCAACACCUGGUCCUGUAUCAUGGAGGACAGCCCUACCUUAAAAUCAAGGAUAGGCCACUCUAUGCUCUUCCACUCAACACAGGACAGAUAGACAUUAUUACAGAUGGAACCAAAAAGGAUUCAGGAGUUCCUUCUGCUGGUUUUACUCAAAGAGCAACGAUAGACCCUAAUAAAGAUGAGAUUCAUGUGUUAUCGGGCCUUAAUAAAGAAAAGGAGAAGAGAGAAAACGUCAAGAAUUCUUUCUGGGUAUACAGCAUUAAGAAGAACCGAUGGUCGUGUGUGUAUAGAAAUGAGAACACAGGGCAGCAGUACUGGACAAAGAUGCAGAACCUGGAACCGGUGCCUAGGUUUGCCCAUCAGCUGGUGUACGAUCACAUCAGAAAGGUUCAUUAUUUAUUUGGUGGCAACCCGGGUAAAGAGAGUUUACCAAAGAUUCGAUUGGACGAUUUCUGGGUUCUCAAGCUUUGUCGCCUGUCAACGGAGCACCUGCUGCGUCAGUGUAAGUACCUUCUCAGGAAGUACAAGUUUCAGGAGUUAGCAGAGCGCGACCCCCAUGCCGCCAUGUUAUAUCUACAGAACGACUUGGCCAGUAUUGUUGACCAUAAAAAUAUUCAGGAACGCGAAGAGUUUGAAUCUCUAGCAUCCACUUUGUUCCGAUCUCCAGGAGACGAGACCGAAGGAACAGAAGAGACCAUACUAGCGGACACCAGUACCCAUCACAUGGCCCGGACGGAACUCUUUGAUCAACUGGUCGCAUUCUUCCCGGAACACAUGUCACAGCCCAAGGGGAACCUCGUGGACCUUAUCCCACUCACAUGAAUAAAGCCCUCACCCUCUCCUCAUCCCCACCCCCCACCCCCUCAUUAACUGAUUCAUAUUGUUCAAUAAAGGCAACUGUAUAUUGAGAGAAAAAAAUUGUCAUUUUGUUCAACUACAGCUUGCAAGUGCCAAAAAAAUUGACUUGUAAAUGGACAUGCAUGAAUAUUUUUGAAAUGAAUUUAUGAUGAAAGGUCUUGUUGAAGUAUUAAUUAAAAAAAAAUAGUAUAAAUUUUAAUGGCAGUUAAAUCACAGUAAGCUGUGAAGUUUAUUGCUAAGUACUCCCUGUCCCUGUUAAAAGUAAAGGGAGAGGAUAGUUGUGUUUUUUUAAUAAGCUGAUUGACAUUGAUCUAAAUAUUAUGUAUAUAUGUAAAUGUGUACAUAUGACUAAGUGUUACAUUUGAUCAGUGACCCUUAGAUGACAUUGCAUCGAUAUAAUAAGUACUAUGUACUGUGACAGUAAGGUACUUGUACUUGCUGGUCCUGCUUUAUUUAUUACAAUGUUUACUGAUGAUUUCAGUAAUGUGUGUCUGUGUCUUAAUGUCACGAAUAAAUGAGUAUAAAUGUCUACACCAUUG
rnacentral:misc_RNA from 1 species